rnacentral:misc_RNA from 1 species
CCAAACUUGGUCAUUUAGAGGAAGUAAAAGUCGUAACAAGGUCUCCGUAGGUGAACCUGCGGAGGGAUCAUUAGUGAAUGGUCUCACGACCCUUGACCCAUAAAGCCUGUGGCAAAAUCCUGUGCUUUGGUGCCCCAGGGCACCAUCAACUUGCGUGUAUGUGCCUGUUGUCUGAAGGAACCAAGAAUAAGUAAAACUUUCAACAACGGAUCUCUUGGCUCUCGCAUCGAUGAAGAACGCAGC